AUGGCCAGCUACCCAAUAUAUCGUCCAGAUGCUAGAGGGAUAGCGUCACCGCUGCGCACGAUUUUGAGGUGGCCAAUUAGCAGUUGUUGGAUGGCAUCUGGUCGGCAAGCACCUUCCCUCAAGUUUCCGCCUCGCUUAGCAUCCGCCCACUUCCCCAGCCAACCCAGCCGCCCCCUCCAUGCCGAACCCUGUGCUGGUGGUGGACAAAGUUUGCAAGAGGAACUUGAUUUUUUAGCUUUAUUUGUUUCUUAUACAGGUGAUGCUUUUCUAUAUUAUGGAUGGAUUCUUGAUAGCCAUCAUAGAUUACUGCCAAGUAGAUAA
rnacentral:rRNA from 1 species